CGAGUUACUCAUUUACCAGGCGGCGUCGGUUACAUAGCGUGUCGUUUGAAAGGUCACAAGAGCGUAGGAACAGAGCUCGCUGGAGGAGCGAAACCAAGGCAAAUUCGGCCAGUUGAGAAACCAUUAGUCUUCAUCAGUGACUUAGUCAAGAUCUUGGACCGUGAGCACGAUUGGAGAAGGAGGGGAGUUAAAGAGGCUGUCUGGGAAAAAGUGGAAGCCCCAUCAGUCUUCAUCAGUGACUUAGUCAAGAUCUUGGACCGUGAGCACGAUUGGAGAAGGAGGGGAGUUAAAGAGGCUGUCUGGGAAAAAGUGGAAGCCCCAUCAGUCUUCAUCAGUGACUUAGUCAAGAUCUUGGACCGUGAGCACGAUUGGAGAAGGAGGGGAGUUAAAGAGGCUGUCUGGGAAAAAGUGGAAGCCCCAUCAGUCUUCAUCAGUGACUUAGUUAAGAUCUUGGACCGUGAGCACGAUUGGAGAAGGAGGGGAGUUAAAGAGGCUGUCUGGGAAAAAGUGGAAGCCCCGACCCUCAACAAGAAAGGGGGGUUCUGGUUCUCCUCGUCACACACCUGGGACCGGGCCCUCUCCUCCGUCCCAACGGUUGUCACACAAUGCUUUGUCAUCACAUGACUAAGUCACUGAGACUGGUGGCUUCGGUCGAAACGUCUAAUUUCAUGUAAUAUCAAAAUUCCAGAAACGGACUUAUAUUUCCCACGAUGAAUGUAAUUUGAAAGGAUUUAAUUCUAUUGAACAAAAAUUUAGUGCAACUGGAAAGGUUUUUAGUUUAGUUGUUUCACUCACCCCCUCCUCAUCUUCGUCUUCUUCGUCAAACUAAAAUUUAAAAAAUAUAGGUUAAAGAAACAUUUCCAUAGUAGUUUAAUUUCAUUGAUCCAAAUCCAAAUAUUACUGAUAUUUCUACCGUGUUGAAAUAAAGUGUAUGUAUGUAUGUACAAGUAUUGAAAUCCUACCUCGUCCUCAAUAGCUUCGCCAGUAAAAUAAAGAACAGCCUACAGAAAUAGAAAUAAAAAAAAAUAAAUAAAUGUUGAUGUACAAA